ACCAGGGCAUGUAGAUCAGAGGAAGUAAAACCAACCUGUGAUGAACCUUAAACAGCACCAUCGCUGUCAGACAUGUGUGACUCUCUCUUCACUGCUAUUAGCUGCACAUUCUUCUUACUGGUCUCUGCUGAAGAAUGCAGCCAGAGUAUUCAGGCCAGACGUGCCACUUUUUAUGCACCACAAGGGGGCACUCUAUCUCUGUCCUGUGUGGUCCAGCACUGUGGGGACACCUGGACAGGGAACUGGAUAUGGAAAAAUUCAACUGAGGAAAAGACUGUUGAAAACUCUGAUCGUCAUAAUUUGACUAAUGUGACAGUCUCUGCAAACGAAACGCGCCUGCUUUUGCAUUUCCUGACAGUCAGCCAAUUGGAUGAAGGUUCCUAUAGGUGUACCGUUACAUGGAGUCAAGGCAACACUGAUUUGGGACACUGGAUGUAUGUGAAAGCUGCCCCCUCUGGGAGGAAUUUGUUGCAUAGGGGUUUGGUCUGUGCUGGUGCUUUUGUUUGUCUUCCCAUCAUUCUGGGAUUGGUUCGUUGUCUGAGUUCAGAGGUCAAGCCUCAGCCACUUCCCAGGACAUGUUCCAGAUAUAUAGGUGGGUAUAGAGACCAACCACAUCUGGCUCCGCGGACUCCACCUCAAGGCUCUGUACCACAGGGACAAAACACCUCUUCUCACAUAGGCAUUUUCUGUUCUUACUUUUAUAUACAGAUUGUAACACUGACAUGAAUGUUACUGUGAUAUUGUUAAAACUGUUUUGCAUCUCACAGCUCCCCCCCACCCCCAGCAGCCUGAGACUGAGUUGGUGUAUGCAGACAUUUCCCACGAUGCACGGAGGCAACAGGGAGCCACCAGAGAACCAGUCCAGUCCACAGUGUACUCAUCGGUCAGAUUUUCUUGACUGCAGUCAAGGCAGUAUGGAGGUGAAAAGUUGUCUGCUGAGGAUCAAUUAUGUGUUUACAUUUUAUGGGAUACUGGUUGAUCAUUGUCAGCUUCAGGAAACAUAAGCAAUGGACUUGUGAAGCUUCCAAGCAGCUAACUCUUGUCGAUUCAUGUCUGUAGACUGUCCUGGUUACUCUCUGCAGAAGCAGUGACUGUUUUAACUGUCAGGAAGAAAGAUGUACCAAAAAUCAUUCAUAUGCAUGUAGCACAGCAGACGGCAGACAGCAAGAGGAGCAGAUGAGGUACCGCAGCAUGUAUCUACUGUACCACCUGAACAACCAGGAGCUUCUGCAGAGAAAAGACUCAGCUUUGUGCUACAUUUUCACCAUUGUUAAUGCUUUGAUUAUUUUUGAAAUGUGACUGAAGACAAGAAAGCAUAGUCUCACCAA